rnacentral:rRNA from 1 species
GGGUUGUGAGGUUAAGCGACUAAGCGUACACGGUGGAUGCCCUGGCAGUCAGAGGCGAUGAAGGGCGUACUAAUCUGCGAUAAGCGCCGGUAAGGUGAUAUGAACCGUUAUAACCGGCGAUACCCGAAUGGGGAAACCCAGUGUGAUUCGUCACACUAUCAUUAACUGAAUCCAUAGGUUAAUGAGGCGAACCGGGGGAACUGAAACAUCUAAGUACCCCGAGGAAAAGAAAUCAACCGAGAUUCCCCCAGUAGCGGCGAGCGAACGGGGAGGAGCCCAGAGCCUGAAUCAGCAUGUGUGUUAGUGGAAGCGUCUGGAAAGGCGCGCGAUACAGGGUGACAGCCCCGUACACAAAAGCGCAUGUGCUGUGAGCUCGAUGAGUAGGGCGGGACACGUGGUAUCCUGUCUGAAUAUGGGGGGACCAUCCUCCAAGGCUAAAUACUCCUGACUGACCGAUAGUGAACCAGUACCGUGAGGGAAAGGCGAAAAGAACCCCGGCGAGGGGAGUGAAAAAGAACCUGAAACCGUGUACGUACAAGCAGUGGGAGCACCCUUUGGGUGUGACUGCGUACC